rnacentral:rRNA from 1 species
UGGGAAAGGGAAGCUAUAAUGCAGUCGACGAGUUCUGAUUAUUGAAAGGUGCUUGCAUCUUGAUUUAAUUUUGAACGAGUGGCGGACGGGUGAGUAACACGUGGGUAACCUGCCCUUAAGUGGGGGAUAACAUUUGGAAACAGAUGCUAAUACCGCAUAAAUCCAAGAACCGCAUGGUUCUUGGGUGAAAAGAGGGCGUAAAGCUUUUCGCUUUUGGAAAGGACCCCCGGGGGUUUUUAGCUUAGUUGGGAAGGUAACGGGUUCCCCAAGGCCAUGAAUACGUAGCCGAAAUUGAGAGGUUGAUUGGCCACCAUUGGGACUGAGACCCGGCCCCAAAUUCCUACGGGAGGCAGCAGUAGGGAAUCUUUCCCCAAUGGACGCAAGUCUGAUGGAGCAACGCCGCGUGAGUGAAGAAGGCUUUCGGGUCGUAAAACUCUGUUGUUGGAGAAGAAUGGUCGGCAGAGUAACUGUUGUCGGCGUGACGGUAUCCAACCAGAAAGCCACGGCUAACUACGUGCCAGCAGCCGCGGUAAUACGUAGGUGGCAAGCGUUAUCCGGAUUUAUUGGGCGUAAAGCGAGCGCAGGCGGUUUUUUAAGUCUGAUGUGAAAGCCCUCGGCUUAACCGAGGAAGUGCAUCGGAAACUGGGAAACUUGAGUGCAGAAGAGGACAGUGGAACUCCAUGUGUAGCGGUGAAAUGCGUAGAUAUAUGGAAGAACACCAGUGGCGAAGGCGGCUGUCUGGUCUGUAACUGACGCUGAGGCUCGAAAGCAUGGGUAGCGAACAGGAUUAGAUACCCUGGUAGUCCAUGCCGUAAACGAUGAAUGCUAGGUGUUGGAGGGUUUCCGCCCUUCAGUGCCGCAGCUAACGCAUUAAGCAUUCCGCCUGGGGAGUACGACCGCAAGGUUGAAACUCAAAGGAAUUGACGGGGGCCCGCACAAGCGGUGGAGCAUGUGGUUUAAUUCGAAGCAACGCGAAGAACCUUACCAGGUCUUGACAUCUUUUGAUCACCUGAGAGAUCAGGUUUCCCCUUCGGGGGCAAAAUGACAGGUGGUGCAUGGUUGUCGUCAGCUCGUGUCGUGAGAUGUUGGGUUAAGUCCCGCAACGAGCGCAACCCUUAUGACUAGUUGCCAGCAUUUAGUUGGGCACUCUAGUAAGACUGCCGGUGACAAACCGGAGGAAAGGUGGGGAUGACGUCAAAUCAUCAUGCCCCUUAUGACCUGGGCUACACACGUGCUACAAUGGAUGGUACAACGAGUUGCGAGACCGCGAGGUCAAGCUAAUCUCUUAAAGCCAUUCUCAGUUCGGACUGUAGGCUGCAACUCGCCUACACGAAGUCGGAAUCGCUAGUAAUCGCGGAUCAGCACGCCGCGGUGAAUACGUUCCCGGGCCUUGUACACACCGCCCGUCACACCAUGAGAGUUUGUAACACCCGAAGCCGGUGGCGUAACCCUUUAGGGAGCGAGCCGUCUAAAUGGGGUAAAGGG